rnacentral:lncRNA from 1 species
AUGGUUAAUUCCUUCUGUAUGAACCUCUUCUGAUCAUGUAUGGAUUUUGUAAUUCAGAUUUUAAAUACCUCACUGCUCAACUUACACCAAUGGAAUCGUUUUCUUCAAGCAUACUAGUCUUAGUGCAAGACUAGAACACAAUUUUGUAAAACAGGUGAUUUUCUGCUUCUGCUAUCUUUGUGUCAGGAGCUCCUUUUCAAUAUCAACUAAGAAGAUGCCAAAAGCUCAAAACAAUGUUUCUUUCUUGAUAUUUUCUGUCAGGUGACAUUUCUUCUUGGUGUCAUCUGCAAAUUAUUGUAUUUUAAUCAGCGAGAACAUACACUCCUAGAAGCUGGACUUCUUGUUCAUCAUAACUAUUAUUGCCUGGAGUUUAAGACAGAAACCCACACUGGAGCCUUUGGAGGAUGUUUCAGAGGAAUGUUGAAGUAGUUGGCUCUAGAAAGGAGUGCCAGCUCAUCUAUUUCCAAGUUCACAAUGCUCUGAUACUGUAGCUGAGGUUCAAUGGAGUGAUUAUACAAGACAUCAAUGAAAGAUACUAAUUGAAGCUCUCAGCAUUGUCCUUCUGCUGAUUUUCUCAUAGUUUCUUGCAAGGAGUGCUGCAGAUACCGAACAAUUCUCAAGGCUUGAACUGAGGUUGCUGUGCAGUUUAGAAGCGCU